CGGGGAAUUUUGCGCAAUGGGGGAAACCCUGACGCAGCAACGCCGCGUGAGUGAUGAAGGCCUUCGGGUCGUAAACCUCUUUUCUGGGAGAAGAGACAAGGACGGUAUCCCAGGAAUAAGUCUCGGCUAACUACGUGCCAGCAGCCGCGGUAAUACGUAGGAGGCAAGCGUUAUCCGGAUUCACUGGGCGUAAAGCGCACGCAGGCGGUCAUGUAAGUCGGACGUGAAAGCUCCUGGCUCAACUGGGAGAGGUCGCUCGAUACUGCAUGGCUUGAGGUUGGGAGAGGGAAGCGGAAUUCCCGGUGUAGUGGUGGAAUGCGUAGAUAUCGGGAGGAACACCAGUGGCGAAAGCGGCUUCCUGGCCCAUACCUGACGCUCAGGUGCGAAAGCGUGGGGAGCGAACGGGAUUAGAUACCCCGGUAGUCCACGCUGUAAACGAUGCGAACUAGGUGUUGGUAGUAUUAAUCCUAUCAGUGCCGUAGCUAACGCGAUAAGUUCGCCGCCUGGGGACUACGGCCGCAAGGCUA
rnacentral:rRNA from 1 species